rnacentral:rRNA from 1 species
CGCUGGCGGCGUGCCUAAUACAUGCAAGUCGAGCGCGGGAAGCGGACUCGUCACCCUUCGGGGUGUCUAGUCCGUGGAACGAGCGGCGGAUGGGUGAGUAUCACGUGGGCAACCUGCCUGUAAGAUUGGGAUAACUCGCGGAAACGUGAGCUAAUACCGAAUGAAGUCUUUCACCGCCUGGUGAAAGGAUGAAAGAUGGCUUUUAGCUAGUCACUUACAGAUGGGCCCGCGGCGCAUUAGCUAGUUGGUGGGGUAAAGGCCUACCAAGGCGACGAUGCGUAGCCGACCUGAGAGGGUGAUCGGCCACACUGGGACUGAGACACGGCCCAGACUCCUACGGGAGGCAGCAGUAGGGAAUCUUCCGCAAUGGACGAAAGUCUGACGGAGCAACGCCGCGUGAGUGAUGAAGGUCUUCGGAUCGUAAAACUCUGUUGUCAGGGAAGAACAAGUUGUGUUCUAACAGGACACGACCUUGACGGUACCUGACCAGAAAGCCCCGGCUAACUACGUGCCAGCCGCCGC